GGGGAAUAUUGCACAAUGGGCGCAAGCCUGAUGCAGCCAUGCCGCGUGUAUGAAGAAGGCCUUCGGGUUGUAAAGUACUUUCAGCAGUGAGGAAGGUGGGUAUGUUAAUAGCAUAUUCAUUUGACGUUAGCUGCAGAAGGAGCACCGGCUAACUCCGUGCCAGCAGCCGCGGUAAUACGGGAGGGUGCGAGCGUUAAUCGGAAUUACUGGGCGUAAAGCGCAUGCAGGUGGUUUGUUAAGUCAGAUGUGAAAGCCCGGGGCUCAACCUCGGAAUUGCAUUUGAAACUGGCAAACUAGAGUACUGUAGAGGGGGUAGAAUUUCAGGUGUAGCGGUGAAAUGCGUAGAGAUCUGAAGGAAUACCGGUGGCGAAGGCGGCCCCCUGGACAGAUACUGACACUCAGAUGCGAAAGCGUGGGGAGCAAACAGGAUUAGAUACCCUGGUAG
rnacentral:rRNA from 1 species